UACGUAGGAGACGAGCGUUGUCCGGAAUUACUGGGCGUAAAGCGCGUGUAGGCGGAUGAGCAAGUCUGCUGUGAAAGCUCCUGGCUUAACCGGGAGUAGUCGGUGGAAACUGCUCGUCUGGAGGACGGUAGAGGUAGGUAGAAUUCCCGGUGUAGUGGUGAAAUGCGUAGAGAUCGGGAGGAAUACCUGUGGCGAAGGCGGCCUACUGGGCCGGACCUGACGCUGAGACGCGAAGGCGUGGGGAGCGAACGGG
rnacentral:rRNA from 1 species